rnacentral:rRNA from 1 species
UGAGGAACAUGACCUUCGGCGGGGGAUAGCCGGCCCAACGGCCGGGUAAUACCGCGUACGACCACAUGGGGACAUCCCUGAGUGGUGAAAGCAGCAAUGCGCCGAUGGAGUGCCUCGCGGCCUAUCAGCUAGUUGGUGAGGUAACGGCUCACCAAGGCGACGACGGGUAGCUGGUCUGAGAGGAUGGCCAGCCACAUUGGGACUGAGACGCGGCCCAGACCUNUACCGGGGAGG